UUAGUGGCGAACGGGUGAGUAAUACGUGAGUAACCUACCUUUAACUCUGGGAUAAGCCUGGGAAACUGGGUCUAAUACCGGAUACGGUCAAUCUCCGCAUGGGGUGUUGGUGGAAAGCGUUAUGUAGUGGUUAUAGAUGGGCUCACGGCCUAUCAGCUUGUUGGUGAGGUAACGGCUCACCAAGGCGACGACGGGUAGCCGGCCUGAGAGGGUGACCGGCCACACUGGGACUGAGACACGGCCCAG
rnacentral:rRNA from 1 species